rnacentral:rRNA from 1 species
GAUGAACGCUGGCGGCGUGCCUAAUACAUGCAAGUCGAGCGAACGGACGAGAAGCUUGCUUCUCUGAUGUUAGCGGCGGACGGGUGAGUAACACGUGGAUAACCUACCUAUAAGACUGGGAUAACUUCGGGAAACCGGAGCUAAUACCGGAUAAUAUUUUGAACCGCAUGGUUCAAAAGUGAAAGACGGUCUUGCUGUCACUUAUAGAUGGAUCCGCGCUGCAUUAGCUAGUUGGUAAGGUAACGGCUUACCAAGGCAACGAUGCAUAGCCGACCUGAGAGGGUGAUCGGCCACACUGGAGCUGAGACACGGUCCAGACUCCUACGGGAGGCAGCAGUAGGGAAUCUUCCGCAAUGGGCGAAAGCCUGACGGAGCAACGCCGAGUGAGUGAUGAAGGUCUUCGGAUCGUAAAACUCUGUUAUUAGGGAAGAACAUAUGUGUAAGUAACUGUGCACAUCUUGACGGUACCUAAUCAGAAAGCCACGGCUAACUACGUG